rnacentral:sRNA from 1 species
UUAGUCCCCUCUCCCCUUUGGGGAGAGGGUUAGGGUGAGGGGAGGAAGGGGCGGUCUGAUGCCCUCACCCCGGCCCUCUCCCACGGGGAGAGGGAGAAAA